UGACAUUGUGUUGGCGCCAGCGCUCCCUCGUGUUGGUGAACACCUUCCUGGUCAUAGUGCUGAGUAGAGCUGCAACGGCAUGGACAACCCACCAUCGCCUCCACUGUGGAAAAGACCUUGAUAUCGCUGGCUGCUCGGCUAUUGGAUUCAGCCUGAUUGGGCCACAAAAGCAUUUUGAGCCAUAGUUUGAUGAAACUGUUGUCAUCCCUCCACUACCGGAGAGGUGCAUGUUGCCACGUCUACCUCGACCCCA